CAGUCGCCGCGGGAAUACGUAGGGUGCAAGCGUUAAUCGGAAUUACUGGGCGUAAAGCGUGCGCAGGCGGUCCGCUAAGACAGAUAUGAAAUCCCCGGGCUUAACCUGGGAACUGCAUUUGUGACUGGCAAGCUAGAGUAUGGCAGAGGGGGGUGGAAUUCCGCGUGUAGCAGUGAAAUGCGUAGAUAUGCGGAGGAACACCGAUGGCGAAGGCAGCCCCCUGGGCCAAUACUGACGCUCAUGCACGAAAGCGUGGGGAGCAAACAGGAUUAGAUACCCGAGUAGUCCCUGUCUCUUAUAC
rnacentral:rRNA from 1 species